GGUCUUGUGAUGUAAUGGUUAUCACGUCUGCUUUACACGCAGAAGGUCGCCGGUUCAAACCCGGUUAGGAGCU
rnacentral:tRNA from 1 species